AAUUGAUCUAAAAAUAUUGAGAUUAAAUUGUAGUGUAGGUUAUAAUUAGUUUAAGUCUUCUUAUAUGGUCAAUCAUUACAAUAAUGCAUAAUUGCUUAGCAAUAGCCCCAGUCAUGGUGAAAUCUUCUACUAUGAUCUGAUGCAUACAAUUGAUGAUCAAAUUAAUUUCUGACGACCAUUGAACAAGUCUUCCAAUAAAAGAAUAUUAUUAAUUUUAUAUUAUUGUAUAUAUACAAUAAAUUGACAUGCAUAUAUGUAUUCAUUUGUCCUUUCAUAGCAUAUGGUCAUUCUAGCAAAUAAAAGGUACUUAAUUUGACCCGUUAAUUUAGUCUGAUUUCAG
rnacentral:misc_RNA from 1 species